UACUAGAGUAGCACUCGCAUAUCAAUAAGCGGAGGAAAAGAAACUAACAAGGAUUCCCCUAGUAACGGCGAGUGAAGCGGGAAGAGCUCAAAUUUGAAAUCUUAAAGGGUUUCCCUUUACGAAUUGUAGUUUAAAGAAGUGUUUUCUGUUGAGGCUUUGGUAAAAGUUCUUUGGAAUAGGACAUCAUAGAGGGUGAGAAUCCCGUAUUUGACCUUUACUUUCAACUUUGUGAUACACUUUCAAAGAGUCGGAUUGUUUGGGAAUGCAGUCCAAAAUGGGUGGUAAAUUUCAUCUAAAGCUAAAUAUUGGCGAGAGACCGAUAGCGAACAAGUACCGUGAGGGAAAGAUGAAAAGAACUUUGAAAAGAGAGUUAAACAGUACAUGAAAUUGUCAAAAGGGAAGCGUUUGACACCAGUGUUGUUUUUCUGAAAAUCAAUUAAAGAACUGUUUAUGCUAAGUUGUUUAGACUUUAUCAGCUAUCUGCUUAGUUUUGAGCUUUUCUUUAAUGCACUUUUCAGUUAACAAGUCAACAUCAAUUUCUUUUGCUGUAAAAAAGCUUGAGGAAGGUGGCUUGAGAUUCGUCUUAAGUGUUUAUAGCCUCUUGCCUAUGCAGUCGGAGAGAUUGAGGUCUGCAGCGUAGAUCCUUCGGGGCUAAAUGCAUUUGUGCUAAGUUAUAGCAUUUUAUAGACAACUUGUUGACUAUGAUUUGUCUUGUAGCUUACUCGCUUAUGUUAUUUUACCUACGCUUAGGAUGUUGAACUCUAUCACACACAG
rnacentral:rRNA from 1 species